UAUACUGUGUAUAUUAUGUUUUUUUCUGAUCUGAUAACCAAGAUGGCUACUAAGUGACUAACAGGCAGGUAACAUAUAUAGAGUCGAUAUGCUGGACAAAGGGAUGGCAUGGGAUGGUGCAAGAUUUCAGCAUACUUGUCAGAAUGGUGCAACACUUAAAAUGUAUUCAUUGUUCCUGGAAUUUUCCAUUUAAUAUUUUCAGACCACAGUUGACCAUGAGUAACUGAAACUGCAGAAAGCAAAACCUCAAAUAAGGCAGGACUGCCAUGACGGUGGGGCUGCAGAGUGUUACACAAUGUUAAUGUGAAAAGCGGGUAUUGAUUUUUCCCUUGAAAGAAUUGUUACUUGCCCUAGGGUCAGGGCAUGGAGGUGGAGUGGUACAGGGGGAUGGUAAGGCAGAGAGGGAGAGGGAUGGUUCUGGGACAUUUGGCAGAGAAUGGAAACUUCAGCUCCCUGCCAGGCUGGGAGUGUUCUAGGGCAGGGGUGCUUUGGAAAUGGUGGCUUUGUGAGAAUGUAUUACCUUGAGGAGCUGCAGAAUUCAAGAGAGUGGCCAUGUCCUAGUUAGUGGGAAAAAGGAGGAUGUGUCUGGGGCAGCAAGACAGCAGUAAUGUCAACUGAGAUGAGGAUUGGGAUACAUCAGCCCAUGGGAUAUUGGGGUAGGAACUUCAGAAGAGGAGGGAAAUAGAGUGGUGACGGGGGUUUGGUGAAGUUGGACCUAUCAAUCACAUUAGUUAUUAAUACUUUAUGGGAUGGGAGAGUCCUCUGUGGGUAAUCUGGAAGACUAAUAGUGGUUCUCAAAUUUUAGCCUGCACCAAAAUCUCCUAGAGGACUUGUUAAAAUAGAGUGCUAGGUGUGCCAUCCUGAGUCCCUGAUUUGAUAGGUCUGGAACAGAGCCUGAGAGUUUCCAUUGUUAACAAAUGCAUUUAAGAAAUGCUGAUAGAGCACUAUAUGAGAAACACUGGACUAGACAAAUCACAGCCCACGGGCCUAAUCCAGUCUACCUGUUUUUAUAAACAAAGUUGUAUUGAAACCAUGCUUUCUAGUUUGAACUUUUUUUUUUCAUAAGAUGAUACUCCUUUUAUGCAAGUUCCAUUAAUUUUUAUACAUUUCUUUGCUCAUAAGGUUUAAACUCCUGGUAGUGAUAGCAAUCAGAUUUAUAGAAGUAAGAUUUAUUAUGAAGUUAGGUAGCCUGUGUCUAUUAAUGCUACUGAAUUGCUGGCUAUUUUGAAAAUUGAGAUGUCAAUAUUACAGAUGACUUGAAAUACAAGGUAUCUUUUAUAUGCUUAUAAAGAUGGAAAGAAGCUUUGCAUUUAGCAUUUUCCACUUAGUCUUUGUGAAAAUUGUUCUUAUUUUAAAAAUAGCCUUAAUGUAUGUGCGUGUGUGUGUGUGUUUCCUGAAUAUUCUAGAUGGUACAUGGUAUUCUGAAAACUGAAAGUCACACCUCCAGGAAUAAAAUUAGGAAAAGUAGAAAUUGGAGGGAGGUCUCUAGAAAUGAUGUAAUAUUAUCUGAAUACCUCAAAUCCAAUCCAGGUCAUCUGGGUAGAAAUUCUGGGAUGGAUUUAUUUAAAUAUAAAUAAAAAUUUGUAUACCUAAAUAAAGAUUGUAUUCUACAUUUGAAGAAAGAGGUUUUUUUUUGGUUUUUUGUUUGUUUGUUUGUUUUUAGAGUAAGAGGUGGUUGGCAUGCAUCUAUGAAAGGAAGGAAUUCAAAGUGUGUAGAAUUGGCAAUGUCUCUGGAGAGCAUGCAUUUGCUAUUGGGUGCCAGCCAUUAAGAUGAUCUCAUUCAUUUCUCCUCUGAUUCUGUGAUAGUUAUUGGAUCAUAUUUGGCUUCACAUUUGGAUUUGCCUAUAGGAAGAAAAGUGCUGAUUAGUAAAUUGAGGAAGCUGUCUACUUGGUAGUUACAUCUCUCCCCAUGAAUGAUUUUUAUGCAUAAAACCCUAAGAGCUUGGUGAAUUUUUAAACCACCCAGGAUUCAGAUCUUUUUUUUUUUGUACUGAUAGUCACCUCUUACCUUGCAAGACUGAAGGCUGGACCCCACACUAUGGUCAACAAAUUGAAGUGUUGCUGUGGGGGUCCAGUCAGGGUGACCAGCUGACCUAUCUUAGUUAACAUUUAAUUUUAUUGGCCAUAUUUUAAAUUUAAGUUGUCAUUAUUACAACUUAAAUUGUAGAGAACGAGUAGAAUACUAGUAAACUAGGAAAAGGAAGUCUUUCUUGUAGAAAACUAGGAAAAGACAAAGAAGUCUAUUGACAACAGGGAAUAGGCUGGAGAUGAGGACCUGACCCAAGCUGGACCAAUUAGAACCCUUCCUUGGGAGUUUUGAAGCCAAUCUGCUAAGAAAAAAAGAAAUCCACUAAUCUACAGAGCGAAGCACAGAUGAGGAUGGACAACGAACACCCUGCCUGCAGUCCGCAUAUUCCCGAGGACCAGCCUUUGAAGGAGGAAGACGUCAUCACCAGCAGAAUGGGCUGUACCACCUGUGUUGUGUGGAUCAGCAUGAUGGAUGGAGAGGAGACCUGAAGAUGCUACAAUGGCAAAUUUGCUCUACAUGGAGAUGCUGGAUGUCCCUAGACAUAAAGACCCACAAAAGGAUGCUGGAAGGGCGUGGCUGGACAGGGGUGGGGUGAAGGAGGAGCUGCAGAUGAGGAAGGAGUCAAGGUGUAGAAUUUGUCUCAAAUUAUUCUUCAAAGCUUCUCAGACAAGUUGGCAACGAGUGCGUAGAGAUCUGCUUCCCAUUAUUCUCACGCUGUAUGAAAGAAAAUGGAAUCGUAGACAAGAUGAAGGAAUCAUCCCUUUGGGGAGGGAAGAAUUACUCACUGGAAAACAUAGGGAUUCAAACAUAAAGCCUGGACCAGGACCACAGACUUCUGACUCCUUAGGCUCAAUCCCAGUUGUAUCCACCACAGCAAUUGAAGCCAAGGAUUAGAGUCAGAUGAGACUCAGGAUUUAGAAGGCAAAACAAACAAACACACAAAAAGGAGAUUAAUUUUGGACCUUCAUGAAUGGUGCCAAAGUGAAAAAAAAAAGGAGCUGCCUGGCAGUGGUCGCAGGUGAAGGUAAUGGUGAAGAAGAUGCAGAUAUUGGCAAUUUGGAGCAUUCGAUGAACUAAUUACAACAUUAACCUAAAGACCAGUGGUGAGAACAUUUUACCCAAAGUGAAGUUCUUGAGGGCAAUCUUGGGUGGCACCUAGCCUCUGUAUUAAAUAAAAUGGACAUCCCUUGGGAGAGAA